rfam:Cucumis melo, WGS project CAJI01000000 data, contig: 04687
GCACUAGAUAGUGCCAAUAACCUCUAUAGUGGGCACCUUGCACGCGCUCCCCACACACUCCUGCAGACGCGUGGCGUGCGAAUGGCUUGCUAAAUCAAUUAUAGUUUGUUUGAUGGUAUCUGGUACUCGGAUAACCAUAGUAAUUUUAGAGCUAAUAUGUGCAACGAACUUCGACUGUUUGAAGAGAUGCAUUUAUUAGAUAAAAGGUUGAUGCGGGCUCUGUCCGUUGCUCUGAUGAUUCAUGAUAACUCGACGGAUCGCACGACCAUCGUGCCGAAGACACAUCAUUCAAAUUUCUGUCCUAUUAACUUUCGAUGGUAGGAUAGUGGCCUACUAUGGUUGUGACGGGUGACAGAGAACUAGGGUUCGAUUUCGGAGAGGGAGCCUGAGAAACGACUACUAAAUCCAAGGAAGGCAGCAUGCGCACAAAUUAACCAAUCUUGACACGGGGAGGUAGUGAAAAUAAAUAACAAUACUGGACUUUUCGAGUCUGGUAAUUGGAAUGAGUACAAUAUAAAUCCCUUAACGAGGAUCAAUUGGAGGGCAAGUUUGAUGCUAGCAGCCGAGAUAAUUCCAGCUCCAAUAGCGUAUAUUUAAGUUGUUGUAGUUAAAAAACUCAUAAUUGGACUUUGGGUUGGGUCGAUCGAUCCGCCUAUGGUGAGCAUUGGUCGGCUCGUCUCUUCUGUCGGUGAUGCGCUCUUGGCCUUUACUGGUCGGGUCGUGCCUCCGAUGCUGUCACUUUGAAGAAAUUAGUGUGCUCAAAGCAAGCAUACGCUCUGUAUUCAUUAGCAUGGGAUAACAUCAUAGGAUUUCGAUCAUAUUCUGUUGGUCUUCAGGAUCGAAGUAAUGAUUAACGGGAACUGUCGGGGGCAUUCGUAUUUCAUAGUCAGAGGUGAAAUUCUUGGAUUUAUGAAAGAUGAACAAUUGCAAAAGCAUUUGCCAAGAAUGUUUUCAUUAAUCAAGAACGAAAGUUGGGGGCUUGAAGACGAUCAGAUACCAUCCUAUUAGCAACCAUAAACGAUGCUGACCAGGGAUCGACAGAUGUUGGUUUAAGGACCCCGCCGGCACCUUACGAGAAAUCAAAGUCUUUGAGAUCCGGGGGGAGUAUGGUCGCAAGGCUGAAACUUAAAGCAAUUGAUAGAAGGGCACCACCAGGAGUAGAGCCUAUGGCUUAAUUUGACUAAAUAUGGGGAAACUUACCAGGUCCAGACAUAGUAAGGAUUGACAGACUUAGAGCUCUUUCUUGAUUCUAUGGGUUGUAGUGAAUGGUCGUUUUUAGUUGGUGGAGCAAUUUGUCUGAUUAAUUUCGUUAACGAACGAGACCUCAAGCUGCUAACUAGCUAUACAGAGGUACCCCUCCACGACCAACUUCUUAGAGAGACUAUGGCCGCUUAGGCCAAGGAUUGUUUGAGGCAAUAACAGGUCUAUGAUGCCCUUAGAUGUUUUGGGUCGCACGUGCGUUAUACUGAUGUAUUCAACAAGUUUAUAGCCUUGGCCGAUAGGCUCGGGUAAUCUUUGAAAUCUUAUCGUGACGGGGAUAGAUUAUUGCAAUUGUUGGUCUUCAACGAGGAAUUCCUAGUAAGCGCGAGUCAUCAGCUCGCGUUGACUACGUCCCUACCCUUUGUACACACCGUCCAUCGCUCCUACCGAUUGAAUGGUCUAGUGAAGUGUUUGAAUCGUGGCGACAUAGGCAGUUCAUUACCCACAACGUCAUGAGAAGUCCAUUGAACCUUAUUAUUUAAGGAAGGAGAAGUAGAAAAAAGUUUUCCGUAGGUGAACCUACGAAAGGGUCAUUA